rnacentral:lncRNA from 1 species
AUAUUAAGAAAAAUAUGUAUAAAGUAUCUAAAGUUUAAAAUCUAAAAAAUAUUUUCUAAAACAAUUAGUAGAGGAAUAACCAAAAGAUAAUCUUUAAUGCAAAAGGCAUUAGAGAAGAAUACAUCAAAGUUGGGAAAUUAGGCGCUGAUAUAAGAAAAGAAAAUAUAAGCAUUGAGAAAUAAAAUAGCUUUAAUAUUAGAAGAAGAUAAACAAAAAUAAUAU